GAUCGUGGUCCCCAAUCCUUUUCUGAAACUAACUAGGUAAAAUGCGAGUGAUGAACAAUCAAAUCAUUAAAGCAUGGGUUUUUUAUUUAAAUAUAUAUAUAUAUAUAUAUAUAUAUAUAUAUAUAUAUAUAUAUAUCAAAGAACAGAGAAGAUGAGGAGGAGGACCUUGUUCGAUGAUCGAAUUCUUGAGCUCGUAAGGCUUGUCCAAAAUGCUCUUCACCGAGAAUGAAAACGACCGAGUCUGAUUUGAUGUCCUUGUGAACAAAAGCUUGUAUUUGUUCUUCCUGGAACCGAAAUCGAUCAACUUGGAUUACGAUUUGCAAUGCCACACUGUCUCUGCUCCGCUGCUCGGUUAGGUUAAUAUAUAUACACAGUACAUAAAUGAAUCACACUAAUUAGACAGAUAAACUCAAUUUCUCACAACCCAACAGAGAAAACACAUAAAUCCAACUUUCUGAUCAUUUUCUCCAUUCCGAGGAACCAAACAAAACAGUAAAAGAAAGACCCAUUACCUUGAUUGUUCCUGACAAUGAAGAGAAUGGCCCAGUCUCAUCCUCAAUCAACCACUCAGAGAUUCGAAGCUUAAAGCUAUUUGCCGGAACCUUCACCCUACUGGUCGGAAUCUCUUGGUCGUUCGUGGUUGGUGAGGCGGAAGGCCUGUUCGUGGUUGGCGCGGCGCAGGUCACUCAGACCUCCAUCGCGAUCUGAAUCUGUGAAGAAAAAAAUAAUACUAAAACCUUACUUUUGUUGUUUUCAAAUUAUAAUGGGUUGUUCUUAAAAAAA
rnacentral:lncRNA from 1 species